rnacentral:pre_miRNA from 1 species
CGCACCCACCGCAACGGACGGGAGGCCCGGAUCACCGGCGCCGAUGAGCGAUGGUGAUCCGGGCCUCCCGUCCGUCAGCCGGUGUCGGUC